rnacentral:rRNA from 1 species
CCCUUAGAUGUUCUGGGCUGCACGCGCGCUACACUGAAGCGUUCAACGAGUAUUCACCUUGCCCGGGAGGGUUGGGUAAUCUUUUGAAAACGCUUCGUGAUGGGGAUAGAUUAUUGCAAUUAUUAAUCUUCAACGAGGAAUUCCUAGUAAGCGCGAGUCAUCAGCUCGUGCUGAUUACGUCCCUGCCCUUUGUACACACCGCCCGUCGCUCCUACCGAUUGAAUGGUCCGGUGAAAUCCUCGGAUCGAGCCGUGGGGCAACUCCGGUUCGAGAAGUUGAUUAAACCUUACCAUUUAGAGGAAGGUGAAGUCGUAACA